GGAGUCUGACAUGUGCGCGAGUCGUUGGGUCGUUAAACCUAAAGGCGUAAUCAAAGUGAAGGGGCGACUCCGUUCACUCCUAGGGAGGAUGGGCGCCGGCCGCAUGCCGGCCGUCGCCCCGCACUCCCGGGGCGUUUCUCACUCAUCGCGAGUCGAGGCGCACCCAGAGCGUACACGUCAGGACCCGAAAGAUGGUGAACUAUGCCCGGCCAGGACGAAGCCAGGGGAAACCCUGGUGGAGGUCCGCAGCGAUUCUGACGUGCAAAUCGAUCGUCGGAGCUGGGUAUAGGGGCGAAAGACUAAUCGAACCAUCUAGUAGCUGGUUCCCUCCGAAGUUUCCCUCAGGAUAGCUGGUGCCCGGGACGAGACGAGUCUCAUCCUGUAAAGCGAAUGAUUAGAGGAAUUGGGGGUCGAAACGACCUCAACCUAUUCUCAAACUUUAAAUAGAUGAGAACUCCGGCUUGCUUGAAAAGUGAAGCCCGAGACGAUGGAUCAGGGCACCCAGUGGGCCAAUUUUG
rnacentral:rRNA from 1 species